rnacentral:lncRNA from 1 species
UCCUGAUUUUGUGAACCAAUCAUAAGACACUGCAAGGAAUCUGUAAACAACAGCGUACAAUCAACUGCUUUGUGUCACUUCUCAAUUCUGAGGGCGCUGGACGAUUCCAUUCUCGGUCAAGUACUCCACGAAUUCAUCAAUCAGAUAGGGCCAAGCACCUUCUUCAUCGUAGUUGGACAGUUGAAGAUCAACAGUCUGAACAAAGGUCAUAAACAAAAAUGAUUUUGUGCUACACCAAAAGCCUAUAGAUACAUCCUAAUUUCAUCAUCAGCAUGCAUAUUUUUUACCCAUACUAAUAUCAUUGAACAAAAUUAGUUGAUUUAUUUUUUCCAUGAGGGCUACAUUCUCUGCAUGUUCUUCCUGCCUAGUGCAAGGAUGCAGCUGGGGACAUUAUUGUUGCUCUGCAGUAUCCUUUCCAAUUGCGCAUGGCAGGAAACAGAUACAAGACAAUUUGCUCUUUCACUGAUAAGAAAGGGGGAAAGAUCAAUAUGGUGUUCUAAUAAAGAACUUCAAAUCGGAAGACUUGCCAUUUUCUGAAGUUAUAGGAGCACCUUGUCAACAGCUAGUUCUAUUGGCUAAAAAAAAGGUAACAAUCAAGGUUGGUGGACUUCAACACAUGUGACAAACAAAUUUAUUUGAAGACAAACUACAAGAAGAAAAAAACAAAACAAAAAAAAGCAUCAAUGCUAUUCCUAACAUUACUUUGUAACACGUCUCACUACCUGGGACAGAGCCCUUCCCAAGUAAUAAAAUAGUUACAAACUGGGGAACCUUAGACUUUUCUUUUGAAACACUCCCUUACUUUUUCUCAUUACUUAUUGGUCUCUCUCUCUCUCUCUCUCUCUCUCUCUCUCUCUCUGUGUGUGCAAAGAACCAUGUCAUGGGACUCAGAAUCAAUCUCGAAUCAUUUGGAAUAAUAUCUUUGCUGGUAAAACUGCACAUAUUAAUGCUCUCUAGACCCCACAUUGAUUGGCAUAGUAUUUUUAAUAGGUGUCAGAGCGCUCGCCUAGGAGCGAGGUGAGGUAAGGCUUGAGUGCCUCACACAACCUCUAGGCGAGGCACUUCGAUGAAGCACCACUUGGGUGCCUUGGGCAAGCGCUCAAGUUAAGAGGCAAGUUGGUACUAGGUGGGGUUAAUGCUUGGUUCAAUUGAACAAGCAAGUUGGUUCAAUCAAACCAACUAAAGUGCCCUAACCCCCCCACCCCAAUUGUCCGAUGCAGCUUCGAAACCCUACAUUCGCUACCGCAACUCCCUCCAUUGCCAUCGCCUUCGUUCGAAGCUUCCUUCGCCAUCGUCACCUUCAUUCGCAACUUCCUCCGUCGUUGCCGACUUCAUCUGCAACUUCACCGCCUUCGUUCAUAUCUUCCUCCGCUGCCGCUGCCUUCGUCUACUGCUUCCUCCGUCGCCACCACCUUCAUCCUUUGCUUCCUCGACUGCCCUCUCCCCCAACUUCCUGCAUAGCUGUUGAAUACUCCUCCUUCCUCCAUAUAUAUAUAUAUUUAUUUAUUUAUUUAUUUAUUUUGUAAUGCCUCACUUUGCUUGGGCAAGUGCCUAGUGCCUCAGGCGUUAUGAGAUCUUGGUGCCUUGCACUUUUAAAAUCACCAGGUUGGCACCUAUUACAUUAAGCCAUCCUUUUUAAAUCAACUUUGCUAAUUACAAUGUCACUAGAGAUUUCGAAUCCAUUAAAGAAAUAUGUUGAAAUCCUUGUCAUGGUUGAAUUUGUAAUAUCAUGUUAAAAAUCUAGUAUUGAACCCCCACAAUAGGUUAUGCCACCCAAGAUACGAUAUUGAUUUGAGGGGUCACAUCCAUGAAUUCUAGUAGUAUCAUUCAAAAAUAAUUUCUCAUAAAUGAGCAACACAAUAAAGAAUAACGUAAACAAAAUGACAAAGCUUAACAAAAGAAUUUUUGCAUUAAGAUUAUUGGCUAAAGAUGAGAUGUAAAUAGCAUUAGGUUAGAAAAUGGAAUUCACAAAUCAAGGGUCACUUUAAGGAGAUGAAACUACUAUGAAAACAAUGGACAUCAAAUUCCUUGUUUUCCUCUGGCACCCUGAGAAUAUAUUGCAUAACCAUUGCAUUAGGUUUUGCCAAAGAGUGCUAGCUAGGCAUGUGAAAUAGUUUCUAAAGAUAGUUCAUAGGUUCACCAAAAUGGUGCAUUUGAAAGAUUCUUUAUGUACGUAAUGUAGCAGAUUUGUUUCCCUAGCAUGCCUAGGCCACUUAAGUAGGGACAUAAGUUUUUGAGUCAUUCUUGGAGAAUCUAAGGGUACUAAAUGGUGAAAACUAGGAUUCAAUAGAGAAACAGGCCACUGUGCAUGUUGCUAUUUCUUAUCUAUUGGCAUGGUCAUCCCAAUUUUAGAAUGCAAGUUGAUCAGUGAGAACAACAUAGAGGAAAAUCAGCACAGAUCAACACAUAUCAUGCCAGAUAAUUAUUAGAACAUGACAUCCUAAUUGUACUGCAGGUACUAGCACAUGGCCGGACCAAUUUUUAUUAUGUGUUGAAUGAUACAUGAGCAUGCCAACUGACAAAAGCAUGUAAUUGUACUAUACCAAGAAGGUACUAGCACACCUUGCGCCAACAAAUGUCAAUCCUCGAGUAUGCCUUUGCUCUAAGGCUUUUUCUUGUAGAGAUGUAUGAAAACCAUCUUAAAGAGGGUGGGUUUGCCAAACACAACAGAAUUGAAAUGGAUAUUUAGUUGAGUUUGCUCCAAGACUGUCCGCAUGAGAUUUAACUUAAUUGUAUUCUAAGAUUUAAUCUUAGCUAGCUGAAUGUUAGAUAAGAUAUCUGAUGCGUGUUCUAGCUUCUUGCUAUUUUUGUCUCAAUUUGCAUGUUAUAAAAUUUCUUCUUGUGUGCUGUCCAUUUCAAAAUGAUCACAUCACUUACCUGGUCAGAAAAUAAAAAUUCCAGGAUUUUCUAUCCGAAAAGACUGAUGGGCAUCCAACUCAUGAAUCCUGAGGACUUCAUAACUUGCAAACUAAUACAUACUUGGCAAAGGAUGAAAAUGCACAAUGAAAAUCCCAGGAACUUCUAUCCAAAAAGACUGAUGGGCAUCCAACUCAUGAAUCCUGAGGAAUUGAUAACUUGCAGACUAAUAUAGACUUGGAAAAGGAUGAAAAUGCACAAUUCAACUUAACAUUAGAAUCUAAGAUACAAUGAGGAACAAACAUCAAAUACAAUCCUUAAUAAGACAAAAAGCAAUCCUAAAACAAUUUAGGGCAGCCACCUAUGUUGAACUAUCACAUAUUGUAUUAAUUGACAAUUAGAUACUGUUAUAUAAUUGUAACAAAACCAUUUAAUACUUAAAUACAUACCUUAGCAAAUUCCAAUAGCUGAGACCAGGUGUCUCUCGAUAUUGCUUUGUUAUGCCUCACCUGAUAAUGACAAAAUGGAUUAGACAUCACCUGUUGCACAGAAUAUUAGAGGCACAAGCCACGAACUAGACCUAAGUAAUCAACUUCAUUAAGGUGCUGCAAAAGCAUGAAAAAGCAAACAACAAACUAAAUCCAUGUAUCCCUCGGAGGGAAUGAAACAUCUAUCAUGCCAUAAUUGCAUAAGUGUUCUCUAAUGUUAAGAAAAUUCAUCCAAGAAUGAAAUGAAACCUGGUGAAAUGGUAGCUGAAAAAACCUACCUGUAAGAACUGGCACCAAUGGUCAACUAAAGGCCAGUGCCUUUCUGCAAACAACAACUGCCACAUGCCAAUAGCUGUAUCAAGUGCUAGAGAUUUUUGACCCUGCGAUGAUUGGAAAGAAAGCCACUUUCAAUAUUAUCUUUAAAAAUCUCAAAAAUAAAUAAAUUAUACCUUUGAGCAUGAGGUAGGGAAGUAACUCAUGUUUGUAUUAUUUAAUAACAGGCGUUCCACAUGAAGUAUGAACAGGAGGAAAGAAUAAAAUGAACUGCAAAUCCAAGCAUAAACAUAGUGUACUCAUGUGUUGUUGCUUGGGAAUGGGCAACAACUUGGAUACAACAACCAAAAUUCAAGGUCAAUGUGAGCCUAAAGGUCUUGCAGCUAUGAUCAACCUCAACAUUGCAAAGGAUAAUGCAUGAGACAUUGACCCAAGAGAUACAGAGUUUUGAAAGCUCAAAGACAUCACAGUACCUGCCACCAUCCAAAAAACACCACUUUGCUGGGCACACAUCACCAAGCUUAAUGGCUAUGAUAUCAUCGUAUCAUAACCUGAGUCGGAGCCUGAGUUGGAAGCACAUGAGCUUGUCACCAACACCUAUGUGAUGUCAUUUGGAGAUAGAUAAUGCCCAAGCUAUAUCUCAUAGUUGAUGCAUAAACAGCGGUCACAAAAUCCCACCAUGAUAUCCAUGAAGUAUCAGUAGGCAGGAAAUAGAAUUUGAAGGCCCGUGAAUUCACCAAGAAAUCUACAUCCAUCCCAAACCAUAACCAGUGAUUUAAAAAGCGCUAGGCGCCAAAAGGCGGCAAGAUCCAAAAACACCCGAGGCGCUAGGCGCUCGCCUAAGCGCUCGCCCGAGCGAAGCGAGGCGCUAAAAUAUAAAAAUAUAUAAUAUAAUUAAUAUAAUUAUUUAAAUAAAAAAUAUGCUAUUAAAUUAAGAAAAUCGAGUACAAAAUCACAAUAUCAUAUUAAUAAAAAGUCUCAAAAAUUAAAACAAUAAAAUUUUACAUCAAAUCUAUUGAGUUACUCUGUACGCUUGCCAUUUAUUCUGAAACCUAACAAUAAUUUUAAAUAAAUAAAAAUUAAUAGUAUUAAAAUCAAAAUAAUAUAUUAUUAAUAUAAUAAAUAAAAAAUACUAUUAUUAGUAUACAGUUAACAGUAUACUGUUAAUAUACUGUUAACAGUAUAGUGAGAAGAGUGUGAGAAGACUGGGAGCGGGAGCGGGAGCGACGAGCGAUAGCGGGAGUGGGAGCGGGAGCUGCGAGCGGCAGUGGGAGUGGGAGCGGGAGCUGCGAGCGACGAGCGACGACAACAGCGAUGAGUGACAAUUGUGGCAGCGGCGAGUAGCGACAAUGGCAGCAACAGCGGCAGCAGAGAGCAGCGACAACGGAGAAGAAAUCUCGACGGCAAAAUCGCAAGUGUUAAGGUUGGGGAAGUCGGGGAAAUCGUGAGAGGGAGCCUAUCGGUGAUUUAGUUGGUUCGAUUGAACCAACUAAAGCACCGGAGACCGAACCAGACGUAAAACACUGGUUCGGUCGCCUGGUUUAACCCGGGCACUCGCCCGAAGCGCCCGACGCCUAGGCUCGGGCGAGCGCCUAGGCGGCGCCUCGUUGAAGCGAGGCGCUUGGACAUGAAGCGAGGCGCUCGGGCCUCGCCUCGCCCGAGCGCCUAGGCGAGCGCCCGAGCGCCUAUUGAAAUCACUGACCAUAACCUAGUCAAACCAAAGUGUGUAAAAGGAUUGCAUAGAUUAUGAUCUUAAUGCCAUAUUGGCUAAUGGAUUUGUACCAUUUUAUAUGGACAACCAUGUGGACUUUGACACUGAAAGUACUCAAGUGUUACUAUUUGGGACAGCAAUGAGUUUAAAACUAUAUCAGUGCAUGCUUCAAGAUAUUGUAGAUGUAGGUCUCACACAGAUACCCAUGUCAAUAGAAAUGAAGUACAUGUUGCACAUAUCAUACCAAAAAAAUGGUAGAAUAAUGCCCACAUCAUGUUGACAUGAUACAAUAGUUACUGCCCAACAUCCCUAAUCUGUGAAUGUCAUAAAAAGGCAUGUCAAAAUUAUUGCUCCAUAAAAUAACUUCAGUAGCCUCAACACUCAACCAGUUUACAUUGGAAUUUGGCAUUGGACUUCUUUGAUCCCAGAAAAGGAAAAGGGAGGAGUCUCUUGAUUCAAAUUAAGGGACCCAAGAAGAGAAGGGAGCGGGUGAUCCACUGAAGGAUCAGUAUGGCAUGUCUGAUCUUAUCAACCCUAGCUAUGAUCCAAAGGAGAGUUAUCUAGCAAAGCUGGCAGAUUAUCUAUCAGGUGCAACAAGGUAAACCAUGGUGGAAUGCAAUCUCAAGACAGAUUGCUUGAUUUCUUCACAUGAAAGGAACAUAAGAAAAAAGAAGAGGGAAGAGAAAAAAAAAAGAAUAUGACUAGAAUGAACAAAAAUAGAAAGAGAAAACAAAAGAAAGAUAAUGAAAUAAAUAAUUUAGAAUUAUUCUAUAAAAUUAUCAAUUAUGUAAGAUAAACAAACAUAUAUAUAAGUUGUAAAAUUACAUAAAAAUGGUAGUACUUUAGGUGUUUAACCAAGAAAAUUGAAAACUGAACUUUCCAAAAUAGAUACACAAACUUCAAAUGAAAAAAAACAAAAGUCUGAUAAUUAUAGGUAAAACCAGAGAUGAGCAGUGAAACUUAAUAUUAAAUACACUGAAUAUUAAUUAAUGGUGAAUUUGAUGGGAUGUUAAAUAAAUCAAAUUCAGUAACAAAGUGUACUAAAUUUGAUGGGAUGUGAAAUAAUUAGUAUGUGGUACGAGGUGAGGUAGAGUUAGUGGCGUGAGGUGAGAUAGAAGAAGACCUUAAAAUAUUUUAAUUGAGACUAAAAAUAAAAAUUUUAAUAUUCUUAAUUUAACUAACCCGAAGAUGUUUUACGUGCCUCCAUGGUAGCAAAAAAUAUCGAUAUGGUCGGCCCCAAAUACUUGAGACUUGUAGCUUUAUUAUUAUAGUUAUUUUUCAGCAUUUUUAAAUUCGAUUGCCAUAUGACUAAAUUCAUCUUUCCUUUAGAUGUCACAAAAUUCCCUUUCAAACUUGUGGACACAUGAAAACAACCAAGUCGACCAGACUCAAGGACGUUGAAGAAACUAUCUUUGAGAAAAUAAUGAAUCUUAAAAUGCCUUUCUCAAUACUGACAGUGAUUACAGCAUCUAUCAAUAUUUUUAAUUUUGAGUACCAGACCUAUACUGGUCCUAACCUAGACUGGUAUGGGUCCGAGCCGUACCAGCACAUUGCGUCGGUAAGUCAGAAUGUACUGAAUUUUGAAAAAACCUAAAAAAAGGUUGAACGAUAGAAAAGUUACCAGUACAGGACUUGUACCACAUGGUACAGGCCUUAUACCAGACGUACCAGGUGGCUCAAGCCCUAUAUCGGAAGCCUAGUACACGUGCCCAUAGUGUUGAACUGAUAAGCACCACCAGUACCAAACUAUAAGGAUGGUAUUACAAAGUACAAACCUUGGCAUACAUCCAAUCCACAGAGAGAAAGAGAGAGAGAGAGUACUAAAAGGGUCACCUAGUUCGCAGAGCUCCCGCCAAUGAAGCUCUAAGAAUGGUGAAUAAACGCAACCUUACCACAACAAGCAAAAUGUUAUGACCCUUUUUUAUCAAACACCAUGGAUGACUUUAUUUGUCGUAUAGCACAUAAUUUGUAAGAUUUUUUGGACACUCCCAUUAGAGCAUAACAUGAAAAUGAUUAUACAUACUUGUGCUUCCAUAAUAUUAUGAAAUAUCAAGUAAUUAAUGAAUUAACAUUUUGUAAAACAUAGCAUUUUGACUGCCUACUUAAAUAAAAUGAAAGAGAUGCUCACUAAACAAAAAUUGGUUGGGUACCUUUUCUUUAGCCCAGCCAAAAGCGAAAUUGUAUAUUUCACGAAAUUUUUCUGGAGGCAUGAAACACAAAAUUUAUUAGAAAAGCUUGAAGAAACGAACAUAAGGCAUGUGUUUCAGUUUUGUUUAUAACAGUGUAUAAAACUUCAAAAUAACUUGAAUAAACAUAUGCCAAGUAGCUUCCAAAAUAGAGAAUGGGACAGAUAACACUCACGUUCAUCUUUUAGCUCACUUCGCAUAUAUGAUAACUUAUCACGAAACUUCUCAAUUGUAUCUAUCCUGCAUCAAAACAUUUUACUUUCAACACAAACAAAUUGUAUCUUCAUAUGUCAAAACUCCUCCAACCUACUCAGAAG